rnacentral:rRNA from 1 species
UACGUAGGGGGCAAGCGUUGUCCGGAUUUAUUGGGCGUAAAGAGCGUGUAGGCGGCUAGGUAGGUCCGUUGUGAAAACUCGAGGCUCAACCUCGAGACGUCGAUGGAAACCAUCUAGCUAGAGUCCGGAAGAGGAGAGUGGAAUUCCUGGUGUAGCGGUGAAAUGCGUAGAGAUCAUGAGGAAGACCAGUGGCGAAGGCGGGUCUCUGGACAGUUCCUGACACUGAGGCACGAAGGCCAGGGGAGCAAACGGG